AGGUGCGUCAGGGUCAGAUGCCCGAGGCUUCCUGUAGCCUCGUUAAACAACCAGACUGACCCCUAGAAUUCUCCGCGCACGGCCACACAACGUCAUUCGAGCCUCUCUCUGACCCUCGAAUUGUUAUCCUUACUUCCCAAGUGAGGCAGCUGAAGCCCAGAACACAACACAUCUUGCCCAAAUCACUGCGGGUGAAGGAAAGAACCUCCUCUGACUCCUGGCACGUUGAGGAAAUGGAGAAUUAUCCAUUAUCCAGAACUAGUCGUUCAAUCAACGGGGAGAUAAAUACCAAAGAGCCUGAUCCCGAUCAUCAGGAAAUGAGGGCACUGCGAGAUCAAGAACAUAAAAGCCAUCCACCGUCAUUGUGCACCUUGGCAAGACAGGACUCUGCCCCCCCGAGGGCUCCCUUCACGCCGGGAGCCCGGGCAUCCUGACACCGCAGGGCUCAGUGCCGAUCCGACCCACCGGGAGAUGAGAACUUCUAGCAAGCGCGUGGCAAGUCGGAGAUCUGCCUCGGAAGCGUCCAGGUUUGGAGAAGACUCGGGAAUGGAAGACUCGGGGUUCUGUUCCCAGCUGGGGGGUUUUAGGAAACUAACAGCCAUUCUAGGUCUCAGUGUCCUCACAUGAAAUGAAAAUGAAUACGAUAAUUCCUAACUUUGAAAGGUUAUUAUGGAGAGUCCGUGUCACGCAUGAAAUAAAUGGGCAUUGUAAACUGUAGAGCACUCUAACAAUGCAUUUUUUUUUAAUUUUUUUUUCAACAUUUAUUUAUUUUUGGGACAGAGAG